UAGGAGGCCUGAGGUGGAGGCUCAGUCCGGGUGGCAGCAAUGGUGGAGAGGCCCCAUGACCUAAACCUGCCCAACGCCAUAAUCACUAGGAUCAUCCAGGAAGCGCUCCCGGAUGGUGUCAACAUCUUCAAGGAGGCCCAGAGCACCAUCCCCCGCACCGCCAGCUUCUUUGUGCUUUACACCACAUCCUGUGCCAACAACUUUGCCAUGAAAGAGAAGCGCAAGACACUGAACGCCAGUGAUGUGCUCUCAGUCAUGGAAGAGAUGGAGUUCCAGAACUUCAUUGCCUCAUUAAAAGAAGCUCUGAAACUCUUGGGAGCAUAUGGGCAUGAACAGAAAGGCAAGAAGAAAGCUUCAGAGCAGCAGAAGAAUGACAAAGACAGAAAAACAGAUUCGGACGAGCAAGACAAGAGCAGGGAUGAGAUCAAUGAUGAAGAGGAGAGAGGCUGGAAGAAGAAGAAAGAACAGAUUGAAGAGGAGGAAGUGGACAACUGGGUGGCAGACUGUGGCAUCUUGGAAGACUCAGUUGGCUUGGAGCCCUUCUAA